rnacentral:lncRNA from 1 species
CUGUAGAGAAAGUGUUGUCACUGUCUGAAGUAUAUCACAAUCAGAAAUGUGAUUUCCUGCUGGAUCUGUACUCACAUGUGAAGGACUAUGAGACUCAAACAGGCAGGAGUGUCCUUCCAGCAUUACUGCCAGUUUACCAGUCAGCUCCUGCAGUCUGGUCCAUAGACCUCUCAGAGAGAAAGGCUUCCCUCCUCCUAGAAGUGCUGAAACUCCAACCAGAGAAGAAACCAGUAGAGCUGAAGGGCUGGUCAGAUGAAGAGAGUGAAGUGAGGAGUUUCCUUCAGUGUCUGCCCUACAUCUCACAGCUGAGAUUUACUCCACCACAGGGUCAGAGAAAAUCCCCUGAAGAGAGGACAAAGAGAGAGAGGACAUUCCUACUGAAUCUGUGCCUUCAAGCAGCUCUCCAUGAGAGAGGAACCAUACAAACAACUGUAGAGAAAGUGUUGUCACUGUCUGAAGUAUAUCACAAUCAGAAAUGUGAUUUCCUGCUGGAUCUGUACUCACAUGUGAAGGACUAUGAGACUCAAACAGGCAGGAGUGUCCUUCCAGCAUUACAGCCAGUUUACCAGUCAGCUCCUGCAGUCUGGUCCAUAGACCUCUCAGAGAGAAAGGCCUCCCUCCUCCUAGAAGUGCUGAAACUCCAACCAGAGAGGAAACCAGUAGAGCUGAAGGGCUGGUCAGAUGAAGAGAGUGAAGUGAGGAGUGUCCUUCAGUGUUUGCCCUACAUCUCACAGCUGAGGUGAGUGAGUUUAUCCAACAAGAGUCCAUAUAUCACUGACCUGGUGUAGAUAGUAUUCAUGUUUUACACUGUCUUUAUCUUGUUAAUACAUUAACAUGUGAAGAAGCUGUAGAAACUCUAAUUCAGUAGGAAUUGAAAUUGAACAAAAUUCCAAUUCAUAGUUGUAUUGUUUUAAAAGAUGGAGUCAUACGGUGCUAUUAGUUUUCAGUUCCCCAACCCUGUUACUCAUAUCAGUCCUCGUCACUCACCUGUAUAUCAUCUGUGUUUUAAACUGUUUGUUCAGAUUUCCUCCGCUGAAGGAUAAUCUGGAGAGGACAAAGAGAGAGAAGACAUUCCUACUGAAUCUGUGUCUUCAAGCAGCUCUCCAUGAGAGAGGAACCAUACAAACAGCUGUAGAGAAAGUGUUGUCACUGUCUGAAGUUUAUAACAAUCAGAAAUGUGAUUUCCUGCUGGAUCUGUACUCGCAUGUGAAGGACUAUGAGACUCAAACAGGCAGGAGUGUCCUUCCAGUAUUACAGCCAGUUUACCAGUCAGCUCCUGCAGUCUGGUCCAUAGACCUCAGAAAGAGAAACGUCUCCCCCCUCCUAGAAGUGCUGAAACUCCAACCAGAGAAGAAACCAGUAGAGCUGAAGGGCUGGUCAGAUGAAGAGAGUGAAGUGAGGAGUUUCCUUCAGUGUCUGCCCUACAUCUCACAGCUGAGGUGAGUCUGAACAUGUGUGGUGGUUAGUGAUUAUGUGAUGCUAGUGGUUAUUAUCUUGUAGAAACAUUUGACAUAUACAACUUAGUGUUGGUGAAUCUGGUAACAUUUAUCUGCCGAUUUCCUGACCUUACAAAUGUUACAUUACCAAAUGUCACACAGAAAUUGUGAAUUUAUCUACAUUUUGUGAUGCAUACCAUUUGUCUUUUAGAUAUCUUGUGAAUUUAAUCUUUCAGAAAUCUUCUAACAUGAAACCUGAAAGUUUAUACUCAGAAUAGCUCAUCUAGAGAACCAAAUGUCAAGCAUAUUAUGGAAUCACGUUUCAGGAGAAGACCCAGAUGCAGAGGUGUCGAAGUCACAGAAGUUUAUUACAAAAAUAAUGGGCAGGCAAAAAGGCAGGUCAAGACCAGGCAGAGGUCAGUAAUCCAGAUCAGAGUCCAAAAGGUACAGAACGGCAGACAGUCUCGGGUGGUAAGACAAUGUACAUAAAUGGCAGGUCGUCUCAGGGUCGGUGCAGGCAGAGGUCAAUAAUCCAGGGUGGUAAGUCAAUGUACAUAAAUGGCAGGUAGCCUCGGGGUCAGGUUAGGCAGAGGUCAACAAUCCAGGGUGGUAAGACAACGUACAUAAAUGGCAGGUAGCCUCGGGGUCAGGGCAGGCAGAGGUCAAUAAUCCAGGGUGAUGUGACAAGGUACCGAACGGCAGGUCAGGGCAGGAAUGGUCAAACCGAGAAAUCUAGAAAACAGGAACUUUAGAAAUGACAGGAGAAAGGGGCAAAACGCUGGUAGACUUGACAAACAAAAUUAAUUUAUUCGAUAUAGGGGGCGCUCUUUUAAUUUAUGGAUUAAAAAAACGUUCCCGUUUUAAACAAUAUAUUUUGUCACGAAAAGAUGCUUGAUUAUGCAUAUAAUUGACAGCUUUGGAAAGAAAACACUCUGACGUUUCCAAAUCUGCAAAGAUAUUAUCUGUGAGUGCCACAGAAGUGAUGCUACAGGCGAAACCAAGAUGAAAUUUCAAACAGGAAAUGCCCCAGAUUUUGAAGGCGCUGUGCUCCAAUGACUCCUUAUAUGGCUGUGAAUGCGCCAGGAAUGAGCCUACACUUUCUGUCGUUUCCACAAGGUGUCUGCAGCAUUGUGACGUAUUUGUAGGCAUAUCAUUGGAAGAUUGACCAUAAGAGACUACAUUUACCAGGUGCUCGCUUGGUGUCCUCCGUUGCAAUUAUUGCGUAAUCUCCACCUGCAUGUAUUUUUCCAUUUGCUUCAGAGGAGAAACCCAACUGGCACGGAUUACUUAUCAUCGAAUAGAUAUGUGAAAAACACCUUGAGGAUUGAUUCUAAACAACAUUUGCCAUGUUUCUGUCGAUAUUAUGGAGUUAAUUUGGAAAAAAGUUUGGCGUUGUAAUGACUGCAUUUUCGGGGUUUUUUCUUAGCCAAACGUGAUGAACAAAACGGAGCGAUUUCUCCUACACAAAUAAUAUUUUUGGAAAAACUGAACAUUUGCUAUCUAACUGAGAGUCUCCUCAUUGAAAACAUCAGAUCUUCAAAGGUAAAUUAUUUUAUUUGAAUGAUUUUCUUGUUUUUGUGAAAAUGUUGCCUGCUGAAUGCUAGUCUUAAUGCUAUGCUAGCUAUCAAUACUCUUACACAAAUGCUUGUGUAGCUAUGGUUGAAAAGCAUAUUUUGAAAAUCUGAGAUGACAGUGUUUGUGAGCCAAUAUAUUUAUUUAAUUUCAUUUGCGAUUUUCAUGAAUAGUUAAUGUUGCGUUAUGGUAAUGAGCUUGAGGCUAUGAUUACGCUCCCGGAUACGGGAUUGCUCGUCGCUAGAGGUUAACAAGCAACAGACGAACAGAGAACAUAGGCAUAAAUGCACUGGGGAUAAUGGGGAAGAUGGGCGACACUUGGAGGGGCAUGGAGACAAUCAUAAAGCCAUGUGAAACAGAUCAGGGUGUGACAGUACCCCCCCCCCCCCCCCCCCCCCCCCCCCUCUAUGGGCGCUACCUGGUUUUCCGGCUUUGGAAACAGGAGACAAAGGGCUGUGAGACAUGGGUUUGAUCCUAGAAACAUGAAAAGUAGGAUGUAUUCGGAGGGUACGGGUCAACAGACGACGAACAGCAGAGGGGAUAGUGAUCUUGGAGAUGGGGAAAGGACCGAUAAACCGGGUGAAAGUUUGCGGGACUACACCUGGAGAGGCAGAUCUCGGGUGAAAAGCCAUACCCUCUGCUCGAGACGGGGGAGGUCCGCUUGUCGUUGAUACCUGGAGGUGGUCUUGAGAAGAGCC